rnacentral:rRNA from 1 species
CAGUCGAACGGCAGCACGGGAGCAAUCCUGGUGGCGAGUGGCGAACGGGUGUGUAAUAUAUCGGAACGUGCCCAGUCGUGGGGGAUAACGCAGCGAAAGCUGUGCUAAUACCGCAUACGAUCUCUGGAUGAAAGCGGGGGACUCGUAAGAGCCUCGCGCGAUUGGAGCGGCCGAUAUCAGAUUAGCUAGUUGGUGGGGUAAAGGCCCACCAAGGCGACGAUCUGUAGCUGGUCUGAGAGGACGACCAGCCACACUGGAACUGAGACACGGUCCAGACUCCUACGGGAGGCAGCAGUGGGGAAUUUUGGACAAUGGGCGCAAGCCUGAUCCAGCAAUGCCGCGUGCAGGAUGAAGGCCUUCGGGUUGUAAACUGCUUUUGUACGGAACGAAAAGGUUUGCCUUAAUACGGUGGGCCCAUGACGGUACCGUAAGAAUAAGCACCGGCUAACUACGUGCCAGCAGCCGCGGUAAUACGUAGGGUGCGAGCGUUAAUCGGAAUUACAGGGCGUAAAGCGUGCGCAGGCGGUUAUAUAAGACAGAUGUGAAAUCCCCGGGCUCAACCUGGGACCUGCAUUUGUGACUGUAUAGCUAGAGUACGGUAGAGGGGGAUGGAAUUCCGCGUGUAGCAG